rnacentral:rRNA from 1 species
AAUAGUGAUAUGGAGCAAAACCCUAAAAGCGGUCUCAGUUCGGAUUGAAGGCUGAAAUUCGCCUUCAUGAAGCUGGAAUUGCUAGUAAUGGCAGGUCAGCAUACUGCCGUGAAUACGUUCCCGGGCCUUGUACACACCGCCCGUCACACCAUGAGAGUUGGAAAUACCCGAAGCCUGUGAGCUAACUGUAAAGAGGCAGCAGUCGAAGGUAGAGCCAAUGAUUGGGGUGAAGUCGUAACAAGGUACC